GAGAAAGAGUUGCGACAGUCCCAUUGGACUCCGUUGUACGCUUUUUGCCGCCUACUUCCGGGGUAUGCAGCCUCGCGUAGUUCCAAAAAGCCAUUCUAUGGCGUUGGACAUCAUUCACUUCCAUUGCUGACUGUCGAGUAACUUCUGAGACGACCGAUUGCCUGCUAGUUUGUUAGCUUGACUUGCCUUCUGUGAAGGUAACGUUAUAUCCAGGGGUAAAUUGAUUAAAUAGCUACCUGUUUUGAAUUGUCAACUGUUUAUAUUUUAUCAGAGGCCCUUUAUGAUGCAUAUACUGAUCUUUAUUUGUAUGUACACAGCGUAAUUAUAUAUAUGUUUUGAUUGCCUGCUAGUUUGUUAGCUUGACUUCGCCCUCUGUAAAGGUAACGUUAACGUUAUAUCCAGGCGUAAAUUCAUUAAAUAGCUACCUCUUUUGAAUUGUCAACUCUGUAUAUUAUAUAAAUAGGCCCUUUAUGGUGCAUAUGCUUAUAUUUAUUUGUAUGUGCACAGUGCAAUUUAUAUAUAUUUUCUUAACUUGGUAGACAACCGAUUUUCAGUCAUUGCCUGCUACCUAGUUAUCUCGAUUUUGCGAGCUGUGAAGAAGGUAUCGCUACACCAAAAAUUACGAAGUUAAGUAGUGAAUCUCUGACAUAUUUUAUUUGGUAAAUUAUUGAUGUUAGAUUACUAGGAUCAUUAAGGUUGAUUAAGGACGUUUUUUUUUAGGUUGUAUCUGCUGAACCUGGCGGUGUUAGCUAGUCAGCUGAGUACUGUGUAUCUGAUGCUAGUAGAAAUAAGGUUUGUUUAAUUACACCCUUGAAAGGGCUGUUGGAUUGCAUGUAAGAAUACAAAUUAUUUUACACAAAAAAUUAUCAUAAGCCAUAAUGAGCUUUAAAAUGUUUAUUACUCAGACAGUAGUGUGACUAAUUUGUUUCUGUUGCUGGUCCCGGUCAUUUGCAGGUUUUUGCGGCUGACCAUUGUCAUCCAUAUUUUCAUGCGAUCUUUGUCCUUGGGGAAGCCAUACAUGCGGUAACCCUUCUCGGACCGAUUGGUGCAUCCAAAUGCUGCACAGCCAACCAUGUGUCCAGGACACAGAUGAAGAGGAUGUUAGUAUGCGUUGUCGAGAGGAACUGCCCUACAGUGACUGGCCAUAGUGAAUAGUGGAACUCCACAGGUGUGAGUCUGAUGUAUGCAAGAGAAAGUAUUUUCUAGGCAGUCCUGAGUGAACUGGCUUGUUAGAAUAUAUUUGUGCCCCUGUCUCAACAGAACUUGCUGGACCACCAGUAUCGUUGUUGUG